rnacentral:rRNA from 1 species
UACGUAGGGUGCGAGCGUUGUCCGGAAUUAUUGGGCGUAAAGAGCUUGUAGGCGGUUUGUCGCGUCUGCUGUGAAAAUCCGGGGCUCAACUCCGGACUUGCAGUGGGUACGGGCAGGCUAGAGUGUGGUAGGGGAGUCUGGAAUUCCUGGUGUAGCGGUGAAAUGCGCAGAUAUCAGGAGGAACACCGGUGGCGAAGGCAGGUCUCUGGGCCACUACUGACGCUGAGAAGCGAAAGCAUGGGGAGCGAACAGG